AUUGAACGCUGGCGGCAUGCUUUACACAUGCAAGUCGAACGGCAGCGCGGGCUUCGGCCUGGCGGCGAGUGGCGAACGGGUGAGUAAUACAUCGGAACGUGCCCAGUAGUGGGGGAUAGCUCGGCGAAAGCCGGAUUAAUACCGCAUACGACCUGAGGGUGAAAGCGGGGGAUCUUCGGACCUCGCGCUAUUGGAGCGGCCGAUGGCAGAUUAGCUAGUUGGUGGGGUAAAGGCCUACCAAGGCGCGAUCUGUAGCUGGUCUGAGAGGACGACCAGCCACACUGGGACUGAGACACGGCCCAGACUCCUACGGGAGGCAGCAGUGGGGAAUUUUGGACAAUGGGCGAAAGCCCUGAUCUCAGCACAUGCUGCGUGUGUGAUGAAGGGCCUUUCGGGGUUGUAAAAGCAACUU
rnacentral:rRNA from 1 species